GGCUGGCCGGGGAGAUUUGAAAACUGGAACUAGCCUAGGCUUAAGUGAGAAACUUUUCCUGCAUUUCUCGCUUUGAACUUGCUUACCUUGCCAUGUUCCAUUCUGUUGCCAAGUCUCCUUCAGGCUUCCUUGUCUUGCUGCAGAACCUGCGUGAGAUGGAAUUCUGUGCAAGGACCCUUGUUUGGACGCCAGGAGUUAAAUUAAUGCCUGUCCACUCUGUGAAACCCAGGUCUCUUCUGGAGCUUUCUCUGACCCCGAUUUGCAGAGAUAUGACUUCUUUUCACAGCCCCCGCCCUGAUGAUGAAAUUUAACUACAUGGAAGUUACUGGCAACCCCGAAGAGCGGUUUUGUUGAAGUGUUGAGGUGAUAGGUUCAAUAGAGUGUGGGGGAAAGGAAGGAUGGAAGAGAAUGACCGUAUUUACACCAAGAGGGAAAGGGGAGAUGGGAUGAAUUGGGUGAUUGGAAUUGACAUAUAUACACUACUGAUACUAUGUAUAAAAUAGAUGACCAAUGAGAACCUACUGUAUAGCACAGGAAACUACCCAGUGCUCUGUGAUGACUUAAAUGGGAAGGGAAUAAA